AUGGGCUUUGUGGAGGUUUUACAGUCAAUGCGAGCCCUUGACUUCAAUACCCGGACUCAGGUCACCAGGGAGGCCAUCAGUAUGGUGUGUGAAGCUGUGGCUGGUGCCAAAGGGGCAACAAGGAGGAGAAAGCCUUGUAGCCGCCCACUUAGCUCCAUCCUGAGGAGGAGUAACCUGAAGUUUGCUGGAAUGCCAAUCAUUCUCACUGUGUCUACCAGCAGCCUUAACCUCAUGGCAGCGGACUGCAAACAGAUCAUUGCCAACCAUCACAUGCAAUCUAUCUCAUUAGCGUCCGGUGGGGAUCCGGACACAGCUGAGUAUGUUGAAUCAGAGAGCCUGCCAUAUCCUGGGGUGUCCUGAAGGGCUUGCUCAGGAUGUCAUCAGCACCAUCGGGCAGGCCUUUGAGUUGUGCUUCAAUCAGUAUUUCAGGAAUCCACUGAAGCUGGUUACCCCCCAUGACUGGAUGGUUGGCUUUGAUGGCUAUGCUUGGGAUGAGGAGGAAGAAGAGCCCCCUGACCAUCAGUACUACAAUGACUUUCCAGGGAAGGAACCCCCUCUCGGUGGGGUGGUAGAUAUGAGGCUUCAGGAAGGGGCAGCUUGACCCACUCUGCCCAGUGCCCAGAUGCCCAGCCACUUGGGAGCUACACUGCCUAUAGGGCAGCAUGCUGCAGGAGACCAUGAAAUCCAUAAACAGAUGCUGCCUCUGCCACCUUGCCCAGGCAGAGAACUCUUCGAUGACCCCUCCUAUGUCAACAUCCAGAAUCUAGACAAGACCUGGCAGGCUGAGGGUGGGGCUGGGCUCCCAAAUCCUUCUCUUAAUGGCAGUGCACCCCAAGACCUCUUUGACAUGAAGCCCUUUGAAGAUGCACUUUGGGUGCCACCCCCACCCCAGUCCAUGUUCAUGGUUGAGCAGCUGUAAGGGGAGUCCUGGUUUCAUGGAAAGCUGAGCCUGCAGGAGGCCGAGGCACUGCUGCAACUCAAUGGUGACUUCUUGGUGAGAGAAAGCACAACCAUGCCUGGCCAGUAUAUACUCACUGGCCUGCAGAGUGGGGAGCCCAAGCACUUGCUUCUGGUGGACCCUGAAGGUGUGGUUCGGACAAAGGCUCAUCGCUUUGAGAGUGUCAGUCAUCUGAUCAGCUACUACAUGGGCAAUCACUUGCCCAUCAUCUCUGCGGGUAUCGAACUGUGCCUACAGCAACCUGUGGAUCAGAAAGUGUGAUCCUUCCCAGCCUCUCCUAAAGGAUGCUCUCUAUUCUCUUCUCCCGUGUUCUCUAACUCGUGGGACCUCUGUUUUGUGGUCUGGCCUUGGGUGGGAACUGGGAGCAAUGAGGACACGGGUUUAGUGCCCACUUGAGAGAGAGA